CACUACUUUAUUAAGCACGAGUGUGUAAUUCUCUGAAAUAUUUCUUUGUGGGAAAGAGAUUCUGCCCCGCACGGCCCAAUUCAAAGCUUCCGCUAGUGCUAAGCCCAAUGUUUCCGAAUUUCCCGCUGACCGAGACUCCAGGUCCAUAGAUCGCCCCUCGCAGCCGAUCCCCGACCCCGGCCCCGGCGGAGGCGGGAGACGGAUGCGGACCUGCAGCCCCCGUAGACAGAGGACCAGAGUACGGGCCUCUGAAAGGCGGGGACUUGGUGGAAGCGGUCCAGUUCUCGCGAGGUUUCGUCCUGACGAGAACAGGCGACAGCUCCGCGGAGAGAGUGGGUUUCGCUCACAGGAGGGAGCCGAAGGGCCCGGGGUGGUCGUUGUUACCCGGGGUCCGAGCCGGGGGAGAAGCCGUCACCCGUAAAAAGCCAGUUCUCCCUAAAGUCACCCCUGGGGAAGUCCAAGGCAGCGCUGGCCUCUUCCUUCGGCUGUGGGGGCAGCUCAGGCAAACCUUGCCAGCUAAAGGAAACCGCCCUAAGCAAAAAAGAAAAAUCGUUUCAGCCCGUGGAUGUUUCCCGUCGAGGCUAGGACACUGGGCCCUCCAGCGCCGCAUAGUGGUCUUGCAUACUGCUAAGGGCCGCGGAUCCGCCCUGCGGGUGCCCGAUCUCGCAAUAAAGAGCGUGGGGGCUUCACCGCCAACGACUGUCUGGUUUUAAUUAAAAGAUUUCUUGAAAAACGGCAGUGUGCACAGCCUUUUCUGACCUCACAGAUCCCUUUUAGAUUGUUCAGCCCUCGUCAUCCUUUUGACAG